GCGGCCGCCAUGGCGCCGGCAGUGCCAGCGGGCGUCUUGCGACCCGGCUCGGGCUUCGCCACCAUUCACUGUGCUUCUCAAGCCACUUCGGCACUCUAAUUUCGCCCUGCUCUCUCUAGACGAUUUUUAAUACCUGGGAAAGUUACUCCCCAGUCUAACCUAAAAAGGUAGAAUUGAUGGGGUGGGGAAUUAACAGGAAGGCAUGAUCCUCGAGGAUAACGCUGACCAGGCGCUUCUUCCAACAAGCCUGUUUCCCUCUCUGUCGCCACCGUAGGAGUUCCUACAGCUCUCCCGCACAUUCUGUACGGAUUGUUUUUUAGUCAAGACGUUCUGUGCGAGAGGAGAAGUUACUUUAUGAACACCCUAACAGGGGAUCUUACGACCUCUUCCCCGCUCUCCACUCAGUCCUUUUAAAAACGCGAGGCAGGAUGAAGAACGCUAUUGAAGUACAUUCUAAAAUGAUCCCACCUGCAAUUUGGAUUUUUGGAGAAUCGGGAUCGGUGUAAAAUUCUACAUGCAUACACGUAUUUGCACAAGAAUAUUUAUAGCAACGUGGUUUUUAAUAGGAAACUAUCUAAAUGUUCAUUACAAGUGAAUUACAUAAAGCUCAAUACAUCCAUACUACGAAUCACUGAAGAGCUGCUAAAAUAGAUGAAAUAUAUUUAUAAUGGCAUGAACAACCGACACAAGACAGUUGCAGAGUAAUGUGUAUUUGUGAUUACAUUUAUGUUUUUAAGUUAUACAAACGCGUAUGUGCCUACGUGUAUGUAAAUUCAUAGGAAGACAAAUCAGAGGACGGUGGUUACCUGGGGAAAAGCAUGUGUUGUCCUAGGGUAUAGCUUUGCAGGAGAGCUUGGCAGAGCCUGCCAAACCUGAUCAGCUUUUCCACCUCUCAGCUACUGCUUUCGGCUCCCCAGCCUCAUAAACUCUCAGCUGCCACAUUACAAAUCAGCAGAUGUCUUGAGGUGAAAUGUGGUGCCAAAUGUCAAGCUCAACUUUUUGGAUCAUCUCUCCUGAAUUUCAGUUCCUCGAAUCCUCACUGUCCUGGGUCUCCAAUGCCUUCAAAAAGGAUUUUAGCAAAAAAAGCAAAAAUGGAAAAAUUGGAUAACAUCAAACUUAAAAACUUCUGCAUGUUAAAGUAAAUAAUCAACACAGUGAAAAAGCAAGCUAUGGAAUGGGAGAAAACAAUUGCAAAUCAUAUGUCUGAUAAGGGAUUGAUUUCCACAAUAUGUAGAGAACUCUUACAACUCAACAACAACAAAACAAUUUAAAAAUUGGGCAAAGGAUCUGAAUAGACAUUUCUCCAAAGAAGAUAUACAAAUGGCCAAGAAGCAUAUGAAAAGAUGUUCAACAUCACUGUUAGAGAAGUGCAAAUCAAAAUCACAAUGAGGUAUUACCUCACACCCAUUAGGAUGGCCACUAUCAAUAAAACAAAAAAUAACAAGUAUUGGCAAGGAUGUGGAGAAAUUGGAACGCUUGUGCACUGCUGGUGGGACUGUAAGAUGAUGCAGUUGGUAUGAAAAACAGUAUGGAGGUUCCUUAAAAACCAAACAUAGAAUUACAGUAUGAUCCAACAAUCCCUCUCCUGGGUAUAUAUCUAAAAACAGGCUGGGCAUGGUGGCUCAUGCCUGUAAUUCCAGCACUUUGGGAGGCCAAGGUGGGUGGAUCAGUUGAGGUCAGGAGUUUGAGACCAGCCUGGCCAACAUGGUGAAAUCCCGUCUCUACUUAAAAUGGAAAAAUUAGCCAGGUGUGGUGGUACACACCUGUAAUUCCAGCUACUCGGGAGACUGAGGCAGGAAAAUUGCUUGAACCUAGGAGGCAGAAGUUGCAGUGAUUGGAGACCACGCCAUUGCACUGCAGCCUGGGCAACAAGAGCGAAACUCUGUCUCAAAAAAACAAACAAGAAACAUGGAAAGCAGGAUCUCAAGGAGAUAUUUGCACACUCAUAUUCACUGCAGCAUUAAUCACAAUAGCCAAGAGGCAGAAGCAGUCCAAAUGUCCAUAGAGGAAUGAAUGGAUUUUUUAAAAUGUGAUAUAUAUAUAUAUGUAUGUAUGUAUGUAUGUAUGUAUGUAUGUAUGUGAUGGGGUGCAGGAAAUACUACCCCAGCAGCUUCCAAUUGUGCUUACAAUAAUAUAGUCUCCCACUUGUCUGUAUGCUCUAUAAACAUCUAAACCUUAUCUCUUUGAUACAGUUCAGUGCCAAGUAUAAUGCUAGGUACAUAGAUGAUAAACAUGUAUUUGUUGAAUGAGUGAACCAAUAAUUGUCAUUUUUUUCAAGUGCUCUGUAGUAAAUACUCAGUUUACAGGAAAAGUAUUUCCUAAUAGUUCUUCAACAGAUGGCACUGUUUGUUAAGGAAUCUAAAGAUAAAAGAAAUCAUGUAAUAAAUGGCUUUUUUAGUUGUUCAUUUCUUCAACCAGUAUUUAAUCAGGACUUUCUCUGUUUGGUAUGUCACAGUGACCAAAACUCUUCAAAGAGCCCAAUUGUCUGGUAAGUGAAAUUUUUCAGAUGUUUUAACUUAGGGGUCAGCAAAGUACAGACAGCAGAUCAGUAAAUAAAGUAAAACUUUACUUACUUUUGUAAAUAAAAUAUCAGACUACAGCCAUGCCCAUUAAUUUACAUAUUUUACAUUAAACAUAAUUUACAUUUGUGUUUCAUCUAUGGCUGCUUCACACUAAAAUGGCAGUUGGGUAGUUAUAGCAGCAAUCAUAUGGCCCACAAGCCUAAAAUAUUUGUCACUUGGCCCUUUAAGAAAAAGUUUGUCAGCUGGGCAUGGUGACUCACUCCUGUAAUCCUAGCAGUUUGGAAAGCUAAAAUGAAAGGGUAGCUUGAGCCCAGGAGUUCAAGAACAGUCUGGGCAACAUAAUGAGACUUGGUCUCUAAAAAAAUUUGUUUUAAUUAGCUGGGUGUGGUGGCAUGCACCUAUAGCCCCAGCUACUUAGGAGGCUGAGGCGGGAGGAUCGCUCGAGCUCAGGAGUUCAAGGAUGCAGUGAGCUGUGAUUGCACCAGUGUACUCUACCCUCGGCAACAGAGUGAGACCCUGUCAAAAAAAGAAAAAAAAAAGAAAAAAAGAGGAAAAAAAGAAAGAAAGAAAGAACGAAAGAAGAAAGAGGAAGGAAGGAAAAGGAAGGAAAGAGAGGAAGGAAGGAGAAAAAGAAAAAAGGAAAGAAAGAAAAAGAAAAGAGAAAGAAAGAAGGAAAGAAGGAGAAAGAGGAAGGAAGGAAAGGUAGGAAGUUUGCUGAUUUAUCUGAACUCUAAAAGCAAAAUAAUAUAAAAAAAUUUUUUGCUGGCUUGACGCAGUAGCUCAUGCCUAUAAUCCCAGCACUUUGGGAGGCCGAGGCUGGUGGAUCAUGAGGUCAAGAGUUUGAGACCAUCCUGGCCAACAUGGUGAAACCCCAUCUCUACUAAAAAUACAAAAAUUAGCUGGGCGUGGUGGUGCGUGCCUGUAGUCCCAGCUACUCAGGAGGCUGAAGCAGGAAAAUCACUUGAACCUGGGAGACGGAGGUUGCAGUGAGUCAAGAUUGUGCCAUUGUACUCCAGCCUGGGGACAGAGCGAGACUCUGUCUCGAAAAAAAAGUUUUGCUAUAUAAGUUAUGUAAAGUAGGUUGAAAUAGUCUACUUUUAAAAGCAUAGACAUUUUUGAAAAUCUUCAUGUCAAAAUAAUUGAUAAGGACACUUCUAAUAAUGGAGGUAGCAUAAAGUGGUCAAGUGAACCCAUCUACAGUUAAUAACUAAGAAAAGUGGCCAAAAUAUCUAAAAAUGACUUUUUAAAAAUCUAAAACAAUAAAAGCAGGUAAAAACCACAGGAGAAUUUGUUCAGCAACUGAUAAGAAUUAUGAGUUUGUGGCUUUUUGUCUGAUGGUGUCCCUCACCACUGAAGCUCAGCACUGCAGGCUUACUUGCUCAAACUGUCAGCAAACUGAGUACAGGGUUUGUUAGAAGAGGUCAUCAGUUUGGGGAGUGACCUACAAAAUGUGUGAGAUCCAAAAUCUGGGUGUAAACUCUGCCCAAAUCACUGACUGACCACUAAAAUACAGACAGCCUGAUGAAAUAACAGGAGUCCCUGAAAAGCAGAACUGCACUCAGUGAAGUGUAUGAGUUUGCUGCUCUUUUGAAUGCAUAUAUUUCCCAACAGAGGUACACCUUGGGUAGCAGAAAGCUGAAGACUUAUUUGAGGUAACAGCGAAUAGAAGUAGAGCUGCCAAAGCAGUUUAGAAUUUAGAAGGAAAGACUGAUAAUUAGGGCAACUGCAGAUGGGUGUAACCCCCGCAAUCUAAGUAUAAACACUGGCCAAAUCCUUCACUAAACUAAGAACGAAGCAGAAUAUAAACUGCUUCACUCUACUAAGGAGACAGGGAGUCAGGGCAAGUUUACUUCAUUUAAAAACAAAUAGUCAAACAGGCAUGGUGGUUCACACCAGUAAUCUCAGCACUUUGGGAGCAGAGGUGGGAAGAUCACUUGAGCCCAGGAGUCAAAGACCAGACUGGGCAACAAAAUGAGACCCCGUCUCUACAAAAAAAUUUUAAAAAUUAGCCAGGUAGCCAGGUGUGGUGGUAUGCACCUGUGAUCCUAGCUACAUAGAAGACUGAGGCAGGAGAAUUGCUUCAAUCCAGGAGGUCAAAGCUGCAGUGAGCCAUGCUCCUGCCACUGCACUCUAGCCUGGGUGACAGAGAAAGAACUUGGCUCAAAGAAACAAACAACAAAAAAUGCCAGUCAAAUAAUUAUCUGAAGAAAAAAAUAGAAUCCAGAGUGGCCACAAUAUGUUACAUACAAUGUACAGUUUUAACCAAAAGCUUUAUAAGAAGAUAACAAAAUCUAGGCACU
rnacentral:lncRNA from 1 species